rnacentral:rRNA from 1 species
UCCGUAGGUGAACCUGCGGAAGGAUCAUUAAUGAAUCAAUUCGGUCCUCUGUGCUGGUGGAAACACAUGUGCACGUCGAUCGUAAUUCCAUCCUCCUCCCAACCGUCCAUGUGUGUGUUUUGGUCGACCUCUGGUCGAAGAGUUGUGCCCUCGGGUGUGAUUCGUUCCAGAUGCACCUUGGUUAUUUCACCCACUCUGGGUAUCAGAAACAAAGAACAUUCUAUAUAAACUAUACAACUUUCAACAACGGAUCUCUUGGCUCUCGCAUCGAUGAAGAACGCAGCGAAAUGCGAUAAGUAAUGUGAAUUGCAGAAUUCAGUGAAUCAUCGAAUCUUUGAACGCACCUUGCACCCUUUGGUAUUCCGAAGGGUACGCCCGUUUGAGUGUCAUUGUAAUCUCAAUCCCACGACUUUAUGUGGUGUGAUUGGACUUGGAUCUCGUUGCAGUCUGUGACCGAUCCAAAAUGCAUCAGUGUGUGUCCGUCGUGACGAUAAAACCGAUUGUUAAACUUCAUCGGGCUCGCUCUGUCGGAGGGUCGGUCUGGGGGCGGAAAACGCACCGGCCCGGAACCCUACAUUUGGACAAUUUGACCUCAAAUCGGGGGGGUGGGGGGAUCACCCGGCUGGAACUUAAG